AACGGCGAGUGAAGCGGCAACAGCUCAAAUUUGAAAUCUGGCCCCUCGGGCCCGAGUUGUAAUUUGUAGAGGAUGCUUUUGGCAAGGUGCCGCCCGAGUUCCCUGGAACGGGACGCCGCAGAGGGUGAGAGCCCCGUCUGGCUGGCCACCGAGCCUCUGUAAAGCUCCUUCGACGAGUCGAGUAGUUUGGGAAUGCUGCUCAAAAUGGGAGGUAUAUGUCUUCUAAAGCUAAAUAUUGGCCAGAGACCGAUAGCGCACAAGUAGAGUGAUCGAAAGAUGAAAAGCACUUUGAAAAGAGGGUUAAACAGUACGUGAAAUUGUUGAAAGGGAAGCGCUCAUGACCAGACUUGGGCUUGGCGAAUCAUCCGGCGUUCUCGCCGGUGCACUUCGCCUCGCUCAGGCCAGCAUCAGUUCGCGCCGGGGGACAAAAGCUUCGGGAAUGUGGCUCCUCCGGGAGUGUUAUAGCCCGUUGCAUAAUACCCUGGUGCGGACUGAGGUUCGCGCAUCUGCAAGGAUGCUGGCGUAAUGGUCAUCAGCGACCCGUCUUGAAACACGGACCAAGGAGUCGUCUUCGUAUGCGAGUGUUCGGGUGUCAAACCCCUACGCGUAAUGAAAGUGAACGCAGGUGAGAGCUUCGGCGCAUCAUCGACCGAUCCUGAUGUUCUCGGAUGGAUUUGAGUAAGAGCAUACGGGGCCGGACCCGAAAGAAGGUGAACUAUGCCUGUAUAGGGUGAAGCCAGAGGAAACUCUGGUGGAGGCUCGCAGCGGUUCUGACGUGCAAAUCGAUCGUCAAAUAUGGGCA
rnacentral:rRNA from 1 species